GCUUAGUAAAUCUCUCUCUCCCUUCAAUAUGCCUGCGUUUGCCAUUCUUAUGAAAACUGAAGAGGAUUUGUAAUCACCUGGUAUAUCUUUCUCAAUUACAACUCUCUGACCAGAUGGCCCGGUGUCAGUGGGGCUUUGCAAGGAAUGAGGAAUUUCCCUUUUUCUUUCGAGACUUGUUAAACACAUGAGCCUGGAAUUUGGAUUCAUUUCGCUGUUCAUGUUCCAAAUCACAUCAUUUCAGCAUACCUAUGAUUCACUGGGCUCCACGGGUUCUUGUUAUCCUACCUAAUCCAUCAAUUUUCAUUAGUUCAUUUGUUAUUCCAGUCACAAAUUGCACAGCCCACUCCUACAAGUUCAGUCUCUCUUGCGUGUAACCAGCUCAUGGAGCCAGGCCCAGUACACAUUCCCUUCACAUAUCUUUGGUUAAUCAUCCCUUCCACUGCCUGCUUCUUUUACUCAGUGUCACUUUCUCAAAGGGGAUUACUCCUCUUUGUAACUGUCUUGGGUUUAUUUUUUGCUAUUUUAGUCUUACUUUUUUUUUGAUACCCUGAUGUGCUGCUUCAAGAUAGAUUUUUUUUUACAUUGGAGGGCACAGUAGAGGCUAUAAACACAAGAGAUCCUGCAGAUGCUGGAAGUCCAGAGCAACACAUGCAAAAUACUGGGGGAUCUCAGCAGGUCAGUCAGCGUCUAAGAAAGGGAUAAACAGUCAAUGUUUCAGGCUGAGACACUUCAUCAGGACUGGAAAGGGGAAGAAGCCAGAAUAAGAGGAGGAGAGGGGAAAGAGUACAAGCCAGCAGGUGAUAGAAGAGACCAGGUGAGGGGGAAGGGGGAUAAACUGAGCAGCUGGGAAAAGAUAGGUGGAAAAAAUAAAAGGGCUGAAGAGGGAGGAAUCUGAUAGGAGAGGGGAGUGGAUCUUGGGACAAAGGGAUUGAGGAGGGGCACCAGAGGAGAGGUGAUGGGCAGGUGAGGAGAAGGGGUAAGAGGGGAGCCAGAAUGGGGAAUGGAAAAAGAGAGAAGGGGCAGAAAUGACUGGAAAUGAGAGAAAAAUUGACCUUCAUGCUAUCAGGCAGAAGUCUACCCAGGCAAAAUAUGAGGUGUUGCUCUUCCAGCCUGAGAGUGGCAUCAUGGCAGCAGUACAGGAGUCCAUGGACUGACAUGUCAGAAUGGGAAGUAGAAUUAAAAUGGCUGGACCAUUACAUAUCUUUGGUCAAACAUCAUAAGCCCUUCUGCUUCUUCUACUCAAUGUCAGUUUUAUUUGAUCAAGCCUUUUUGUAAUUGUUUUGAAUUUAUUUUUGCUAUUUUAAUGUCACUUUCUGUUUUGAUAAACUGAUGAACUGCUUCAAGAUCUUUUAAUUACAUUGGCAGACACAGUAUAGCUACGACCUUCAGGAAAACAAUAUAGAACUAAGGGAUAAAAUGUAGUGGAGGAAUAAAUUCAGGUUUAAAAUCAGGUUUUAAAAUCAGGUUUAAAUUCACCAGUAUAUGUUGUGAAAGUUGUUAACUUUAUGGCAGCAGUACAAUGAAAUACUUGAUAAAUAAAUAUAGAGAAAAAACUGAAUUACAUUGUGUAUAGACAAAUGUCUAUUAAAUAGUGAAGUUAAAAUAAACAGUGCAAAAGAAAACAGAAAUGAAAAGGUAGUGAGGUAGUGUUCAUGGGUUCAAUGUCCAUUUAGAAAUUGGAUGGCAGAGGGGAAGAAGCUGUUCCUGAAUUUCUGAGUGUGUGCCUUCAGGCUCCUGUACCUGAAGAUGGGAAAAGGGACAACGCCAGUACCAGACCAAUUAUUUCCUCCAGUUGAAUCCUCGCAAUUUUACUUCUACAGUGUAUCCCUUUCUAAAGCCUUAACCAUAUUGCCCCUGCCAGCAUGCUAAAAAGGAAAUGAAAGGAGUAACAAUAACAAUGAAAAGGAAAUAAUACCUUUAAAGGGCGAAAACUAGUGAGGAUAAUAAGUGAAGAGAAAAGGGAAAACUGAGAAGAGAAAACCCAGACAGAAUACAGGUGAGAAUGCAAGAGGGAGACUAGGCUACAACUAACAACCAUUUUUCUUUUUGAUAAUGAACUGUUGCACUCCGACGUGAAUUUUGCGUUUCGCUGUCUUCCUGUCUCAUAGGCUGACCAGAUGUGCAGCCUGUUUGGUGGUUCACACAAUAAUUCCUACAUUUGGGAAAACUUACUCCUGUACAUCUGAAGUCAGUUUUCAAAACUGAUGAAACUUGAGAUUAUUUUUCCCAACAUGAUCUCGUAUCACAGUCACAAGAGGGACUGCAGAUGCUGGAAAUCUGGAGCAAGACACACAACGUGCUGGAGGAGCUCCGCAGUGUGGGGGAGCAUACUUUCAAACACAGCUGAACUGCUCCAACUCUAAUGAUCAACACAGCGUGCUGUUUCCCAGCUGCAACUGAACUACAUCUUCACGGAAGACGAUGCAUCUAACCUCGCACAGACUCCUGUCAGUAAUCACCACCAUCACUGACCUGCAGCGGUGCCCUACCACGUGUCACAUCUCUUCUAACUAUCUGACUGUAGUGCUGUCACCCAUUACUUGACUCUUGCUAACCUGCGUAGGCUCCAAGCCUCUACCUUGUGCAGAUUAGUGAAGGUGUGGUCGUGAGUAAUUAAGUUUAAAAAGGCUCAAUUCCAUUUUCCUGUCAUCAACCUGUUCCAGUUCUGGACUCUUUCCCACCCACACACUAAAUCCGAUGAUAGCGCAUUAGUCCUGUGAGGAGCGAUAAAGUAGACCGCACCAAUACUCUCAAGAGUGAUUGCAUUGAAAUUUACAGAAUUCUUGAAGGACCAGAGAAUUAGUAGAUGCAAAUUCACUUCACUUCUAUAAGAUGUAAAAGAUCCUGAGAGGAAUAGAGAGAGUUAACAGCCAGCAUCUUUUUCCCAAGUUUUGGGUGUGUUUUUUUUCCAGAGAAAGCAGUGGAUGCCUAGAAAGCACUGCUAGGGAUGGUGGUGGAGGCUAAUACAACAGGAACAUUUAAAUGUCUCUUAGACAGGCACAGGGGUGUAAAAAGGGCUGUGUCGGAGAGAAGGUUAGAUUGAUCAAGGAGUAGGUUUAUAUACUAUGGAUCAGCACUACACCACAGGCCGAAGGCACACAUUCCAGCUACGCUCGGUGGCUCCCCCAGCAAACCCUCGGGUGUGUCGUUUGUACGUUUCAAUGUGCAUGUGAGAAAUAAAUUUGAAUCUAUCUGCA